ACACGACUACAUUAGAUACCCGCGUAGUCCAGGGUGUAAACGCUGCGGGCUUGGUGUUGGGGGUCCUUUGAGGGCGCCCAGUGCCGGAGAGAAGUUGUUAAGCCUGCUGCUUGGGGAGUACGUCCGCAAGGAUGAAACUUAAAGGAAUUGGCGGGGGAGCACCGCAACGGGAGGAGCGUGCGGUUCAAUUGGAUUCAACGCCGGACAACUCACCAGGAGCGACGGUUACAUGAAGGCCAAGCUGAAGACUUUGCCGGAUUAGCUG
rnacentral:rRNA from 1 species